rnacentral:rRNA from 1 species
CAGUCGCCGCGGUAAUACGGAGGGUGCGAGCGUUAAUCGGAAUAACUGGGCGUAAAGGGCACGCAGGCGGUUAUUUAAGUGAGGUGUGAAAGCCCCGGGCUUAACCUGGGAAUUGCAUUUCAGACUGGGUAACUAGAGUACUUUAGGGAGGGGUAGAAUUCCACGUGUAGCGGUGAAAUGCGUAGAGAUGUGGAGGAAUACCGAAGGCGAAGGCAACCCCUUGGGAAUGUACUGACGCUCAUGUGCGAAAGCGUGGGGAGCAAACAGGAUUAGAUACCCCUGUAGUCCCUGUCUCUUAUAC